CCAGUGUGGAUACUUCCAGGUGGUCACUCUCCCUGAGCUCUGUCCAUGUGGCAUAGGGGAGCAUAGGGCUCUUUCCAGUCUCUUUCCACUACGUUGGAGAUGUGAAGUUGGGCCUCAAGGCUGCACCUGCUUAUUCCUACAGCUUCUUAGAGUCCUGUGGACAAUGACUGAGGAGACAAACCAUGUAGGAAACAGCC